GCCGGGCACAGUGGCAUGUGCCUGUAGUCCCAGCUACUUGGGAGGCUGAGAUGGGAGGAUCACUUGAGCCGAGGAGUUCUGGGCUGUAGUGCGCUAUGCUGAUCGGGUGUCCGCACUAAGUUCAGCAUCAAUAUGGUGACCUCCCAGGAACGGGGGACCACCAGGUUGCCUAGGAGAGGUGAACUGGCCCAGGUGGGAAACGGAGCAGGUCAAAACUCCCGUGCUGAUCAAUAGUGGGAUCGUGCCUGUGAAUAGCCACUGCACUCCAGCCUGGGCAACAUAGUGAGACACCAUCUCUA
ensembl:misc_RNA Metazoa_SRP Metazoan signal recognition particle RNA